AUGCGCCAAAUUUUUGGUGCUUUAGUCAAAUUCAUUCAUUACAGAAAAAAAACGAGGCCUCUGCAAGCCGUUGUUACAAGGUUACAUGCACAAACACACAUGUGGUGUAUGUUUGGCAAAGACUGGGUUUCAAAAGGACUUACAGACUUCCUUGUAACUCAAACCAGAGACACUGCUCCUGUGUUUCACUUCUCAGUAUCUCAGCGCUUAGGCAGUGAUCCCAGGAGAAAGAAUAAAAGAGAUCCAUUCUACCUUGAGAGGACUCUUCCCUGCUCUUCAAGCAUAUCCAUCUAUUCCAUGGCCACUUUGCCCAGGUGGGGCACAGAACAGCAGCAGUGUUACAGCUGUAUGAGGGGGUGCUCUACUACAUGCAGACCUAGAAGGAAGAAGGAGUCAUCAAACUCGUACAAAAUGAUGAGUAAGGAAUACACUGCAAAAAUGCAGAACUCUGAUUCAUUUGCUGGAAGAUGA
rnacentral:lncRNA from 13 species